rnacentral:rRNA from 1 species
AGAGCGAACGCUGGCGGCAUGCUUAACACAUGCAAGUCGCACGGGCACUUUCGGGUGUCAGUGGCGGACGGGUGAGUAACGCGUAGGUAUCUGUCCAUGGGUGGGGGAUAACGCCGGGAAACUGGUGCUAAUACCGCAUGAUGACUGAGGUCCAAAGGCGCAAGUCGCCUGUGGAGGAGCCUGCGUUCGAUUAGCUUGUUGGUGGGGUAACGCCUACCAAGGCGACGAUCGAUAGCUGGUCUGAGAGGAUGAUCAGCCACAUUGGGACUGAGACACGGCCCAAACUCCUACGGGAGGCAGCAGUGGGGAAUAUUGGACAAUGGGCGCAAGCCUGAUCCAGCAAUGCCGCGUGGAUGAAGAAGGUCUUCGGAUUGUAAAGUCCUUUCGACGGGGACGAUGAUGACGGUACCCGUAGAAGAAGCCCCGGCUAACUUCGCGCCAGCAGCCGC